GGAAGCCCCCAAAGUAUCAGCGCCGCUUCGUGGAGCCUGGCGACUGCUUUGGGAAGUCCUGCUGGCAGGCACUCUGCCCCUGGGGGUGUGCAAAGAGUUGUCCAGUUACCUUGAUCUUCUCACAGCCUCCUCCCCAGGGCACCAGGAGAGACCAGGAUUGGAGGACGGUGGCUUCCUCCAGGCAGUAAAUCUACAGCCCAGGCUCCCUGCAUCUUAUGGCUCCAAUCACUUUGGAUCUCAUCGUCGCCUGCACAUUGCCAUACACAGGGAAGGAGAAGAGAUGGAGAAGGCAAAGACUUUCUGAAAGCCGUGGCUAAAAGCUGGCAUGUGUCACAUCAGCUCACAUUCCAUUGUAGAGACGGGGUUUCACCGUGUUAGCCAGGAUGGUCUUGAUAUCCUGACCUCGUGAUCCGCCCGCCUUGGCUUCCCAAAGUGCUGGGAUUACAGGCGUGAGCCACCGCUCCCGGCCUGGCAGGCAUUCUUGAGGCAAACGGGAAAUGGGGUAAGUUACACAAUCGAUACAGCUCCGUCAUCGUGGUUUAAUUACUUUUCCACGUACCAUGUUUCCUGACAGGUAGAACGAUCAGCCUGGGCCUCCGUUUUUCAUUCUACAAAGAAUGAAGUGCAUGAACUGUCCUCUAUAGAAUUGUGGAAAAAGUUGUUUUUAUUGAGUUGUGGUUAUCUUUGUCUUCAUGGUCUAAUUACGGAAAUAAAUGCUUUUCCGAGUCUCCGGGGAUGGUCUGCCCUAGUCCAGCUCUCUGCAGUGUCUUUCUGGGUUUUUCCUCAGUGAACGGGAGGAACAUUGGCAGCACUUGUGGUCUGCACCAAGAACUGAAUCGAAUUUCCAUGUGUUAUUGAAUGUUCACAAAGACCUUGUACAGCGAGUGUUACUACCUCUGGUCAAUGAUUCAACUCAAGGCUCAGAAAAGUCAAGUGUCUUGUCCAGGGACACUUAGUCAGAAGUGAAUCCAAGGUUUAAGCUCAAGUCUGCCUAACUCUGAAUUUCACAGCCUUUUGCUACAUAUGGCGAAUAAUAUAUCCCUGAGCACUAAAGGCAGACUCCAAGGAUCUUGUCUCUGCAAUCAUCAUUCUGGCCAUAAUUUAUGAAAAGCAACCCAAAGUAUGUGAUGUAAUAAAAAGUACUAUCUAUGAGUUUACCCUUCCAAAAAUUGAACUGAAUUCUGAGCUCUAAAUUUGGAAUCAAAAGAACUUUUCUCUGCACUAAUCAUUUGGAACAUCACUUAAAGAAAACAACGAAAAACUGGUGUCCCCUGAGAGAAAGCAAUACAAAACAUUAUGCAUAAAGAAAUCCUUCCAAAAAAUAAACCAAAUCCAGUCAAAUCUCUAGUUUUGACUCCUAGCUUACCGGAAAUACGUGAUGGGAAAAAAAUGAAAUGACACCACUAUGAUUCAAUCAGCCAAAUCCAGCAUAUGCAAAUUUCUACCAGAUAAAUGGUUUAGUUUCUUCCCCAAACAAAUGGCACAAGGAAACGGAGAUACAUCAUAUAGUAUUAACUAAUGAAAUGCUUUGAUAUCUGGAACGUUUAAAAAAUAUUCCCGAUGGAGUAAGUGCAAAGAAACAGGUAAGCAAAAUGCUGAUAAUUGCUGAAACACAGGAUGUGUACCUGGGGCUUCAUUUACUAUCUCUUCAUUUUCUAUUUUGAUAUUUGUUGGACAUUCUCAUAAAAAGGAAAGUUAUGUUUUAUUUUCUCAUAAGCUAGUAAUGAAAUAGCCCUACGUAACUGAUAUUGUAGAGACAAGAAUAGGUGUAAUAGAGCUUAAGGUUUUCAUUUAAAAAACUAUCUGUAGACUUCAAUGGAUCUUAGGUGGCAUCCAUGCAAUAACACUCGUGGAACAUGCAGGACAGGUGUGGAGCUCCAUCUUCACACAGUGACAUUUUUUAUGCUUCUGUUUUCCCUAAGAGUGGAGUGAGAGGAUGAUUAUUUUAUAUCAUGGACUUCUUCCCUGCUAUACUUUUUUUAAUUAUUUUACUUUCACUUCUGGGAUACAUGUGCUGAGCAUGCAGGCUUGUUUACAUAGGUAUACAUCUGCCAUGGUGGUUUGCUGCACCUAUCAACCCAUCAUACAGGUUUUAAGCCCUGCAUGCAUUAGGUAUUCGCCCUAAUGCUCUCCCUCGCCUUUCCCCCCACCCCCUGAUAGCCCCCAGUGAGUCAUAUUCCCCUCCCUGUGUCCAUGUGUUCUCAUUGUUCAACUCCCAUUUAUGAGUGAGAAUAUGUGGUGUUUAGUUUUCUGUUCCUGUGUUAGUUUGCUGAGAAUGAUGUUUUCCAGCUUCAUCCAUGUCCCUGAAAAGGACAUGAGCUCAUUCUUUUUUAUGGCUGCAUAGUAUUCCACGGUGUUAUAUGUGCCACAUUUUCUUAAUCCAGUCUGUCAUUGAUGGACAUUUGGGUUGUUUCCAAGUCUUUGCUAUUGUAAAUAGUGCUGCAAUAAACAUAUGUGUGCAUGUGUCUUUGUAGUAGAAUGAUUUAUAAUCCUUUGGGUAUAUGCCCAGUAAUGGGACUGAUGGGUCAAAUGGUAUUUCUGGUUCUAGAUCCUUGAGGAAUUGCCACACUGUCUUCCACAAUGGUUGAACUAAUUUAUACUCCCACCAACAGGGUAAAAGCAUUCCUAUUUCUCCACAUCCUCUCCAGCAUCUGUUGUUUCCAAAUGUUUUAAUGAUUGCCAUUCCACCUGGCGUGAGAUGGUAUCUCAUUGUGGUUUUGAUUUUCAUUUCUCUAAUGACCAGUGAUGAUAAGCUUUUUUUCAUAUGUUUGUUGGCCACAUAAAUGUCUUCUUUUGACUUUUAUGUGGAAACAAAUUUAACUGCACAGAGAGGUGAAAAUUAAUUAAUAACUUUUAAAGUAAUUCCCUAAGUUUCUAAGGAUCUAUAUGUUUCCAUCUGACUUUAUUUUAUUUAAGCUCUUGAUUGAUGCUGCAUUUGGAGCAGGUUCAUGAACAUGAAUAGAGUUAAUCUGGGACAGAUUUCCCUCAUUUGAUUUUUUCACUGUUUCCAUCACAGAACUUAUUUCAUGCUCACCAUGUUUGCAGGCAUUGAGCUUGGUACUGGAGCCACAGAGCUGGAUCAGACAGACUUGUGCAAAUAUUUCAGGUUUUUUUUGUGGGGGGGUCAUAUUUAUAGAUAAAUAACAGUAAAGAGUGACGGGUUCUUAUGAAAAUGCAUACACAGUGAAGUAGAGGGUGAAAAGGAGGGAUGUGUUCUAUGAGGAGGAAGAGUGAUAAGAAAGUGUAAGGGGAUGUGUCUGUGUCUAGACAUAUGUGUGUUCACGUGUGUGCGUGCUUGUGUGUACUGCAUGUGUAUAUGUGUGGCCAUGCACCUGUGUGCAUGUUCAUGUGUGUGUGUGUAUGUGUCUGUGUUGAGGACUAAAUUAAUUGGGCUUAUGGAAGCAGGGAGCCACUGAUAGGUUUAAUUAGAGACUGACAUGAUAUGAUAGUUUAGGUGGAUUUCUCUGGGGGCUGUGUUGAGGGACAGUGGGGAGGAGAGCUAGAAGGAAGAAAAGGACACAUGCAUAACAGAAGCAAUAUCUGUCUAUGGGAUGGUGGAAAGAAUCAGAAAAGACUUAAUAAAACAUGUGACACUUUAACUGAAUCUUGAAAUAGACAAGUGUUGGAGGAGGGAGUUGGACCAGAUACUUCAUGCAAAGGGAAGAAAAGUGCACAAACAAAAUAUGAGAAACAAGGCAGACAGGCAUUUUUUUAAAAUUUUCGCACCCACUGAUAGACCAGUGAUGCAUUCACAUCGUCUGCAUUCAUGAUCAACAAAAGUGCUUUCCUAGAACAUGAACCUCAACCCAAGUGUCGCCUCAAGUAGUGUAUGCAUGAACUCAAGCAUUAAAUUAGAAUUGAUUUUUUAAAAAACUCACACAAACAGAUGUAUUAUUUAAAAAUCUUUAAAGCAGGUUUAAACAGUUUUCAGGAUUAAAAGCAGCCACUAUUAGAAAGAACAAAAAUACAUUUGACAUAAAUAUAAGGAGCCUCAAUAGAACCUCCUGUACCCAGUCAUUGUCAAUGCCACAUCCAUUCAUUCACCAGCCCUUAUAUCAAUGCUUGCUGGGCUCACUUACCACGAUCAGCACGUGCAUGUCCUUAUCUGAAAGCUUGCCACUCAAAUGUGCUCAGUCUUACCUGUGUGGCUGGGAGUGUUGGGGAUUUAAUGUCAAGGGAAAGAAUCUUCCAUCAAUGAAUGAUGAAAGUUAGUUUUCACAACUUCCGGUCCCCUUGGCCCUCAUCAAAGGGCUCCAGGUGAGGUUUGGGCUCCUUGCUAUCCUCCGAGUUUCCACGGUAGUUUUAAGCACCAUUGCCCGUGGUAAUGGCUGACAUUGAUACUGCACUUUUUUUUUAUUUAAGAUGGAGUUCCCCUCUGCCACCCAGACUGGAGUACAGUGGCGCGAUCCUGGCCAUCGCAACCUCCGCCUCCCAGGUUCAAGCGAUUCUCCUGCCUCAGUCUCUCAAGUAGCUGGGAUAUGGGCACCUGUCACCAUGCCCAGCUAAUUUUUUUAAAAUUUAUUUUUAGUAGAGAUGGGGUUUCACCAUGUUGGCCAGGCUGGUCUCGAACUCCUGACCUCAGGUGAUCCACCCACACUUUUUAUUGUUUGCCUACACUUUCUAGACUUGCUUCAUCAGCCUACUCCGUUUCUGGUUGAUAUGGUUUGGUUGUGUCCCCACUCAAAUCUUAUCUAGAAGUGUAAUCCCCAAGUCUCAAGGGAGGGACCUGGUGUGAGGUGAUUGGAUUGGGGGGUGGUUCCCGCCAUGCUGUUCUCAUGAUAGUGAGUGAGUUCUCAUGAGAUCUGAUGGUUUUAUAAGGCAGUUUUCCCUAUUCUUGCUCACUCUUCUCUCUCUUUCUGCCAUGUGAAGAAGGUCCUUGCUUCCCCUUCACCUUCUACCAUGAUUGUAAGUUUCCUGAGGCCUCCCCUCAGCCAUGCACAACUGUGAGUCAAUUAAACCUCUUUCCUUUAUAAAUUACUCAGUCUCAGGUCGUAUCUUUAUAGCAGUAUGAGAAUGGACUAAUACACUGGUCUAUCCUUCAUCCAAAUUAACUACCUGCACUGCAGUCCUUGUCUCAGGCUCUGCUUUGAGGGACCCCAACUGUGACAGCCGCAUUAGAAUGCAUCACAUACUGCAGUGAAAUUCUAGAGUGGGUGUUGUCAGGUGGUGAUGAUUGUUAGAUAUGUCAGUCUGUUUUCAGGCUGCUGAUAAAGACAUACCUGAGACUGGGUAAUUUAUAAAGGAAAAGGAGGUUUAAUGGACUCACAGUUCCACAUGGCUAGGGAGGCCUCACAAUCAUGGCAGAAGGUGAAAGGCACGGCUUACAGGGUGGCAGCAAGAGAGGAAAUGAGAACCAAGUGAAAAGGUUUCUGCUUAUAAAACCAUCAGCUCUUGUGAGACUUAUUCAUUACAAUGAGAACAAUAUGGGGGAAACUGCCCCCAUGAUUCAAUUAUCUCCCACCAGAUCCCUCCUACAACACAUGAGAAUUGUGGGUGCUACAAUUCAAGAUGAGAUUUGAGUGGGGACAAAGUCAAACCAUAUCAUUAGAUAGGACACUGGAGAAAGGCAAGAAAGAAAAGACAUCUGAAGAAUGAAGGGAGCCAAAGAAAUGCCAACAUUUUGCUUUUUGAAGAAAAGCUAAAUUAAAGUCAAAAUGGAUUUAUCAAUUUCCUUGGGUUCGUGAAUGUACAGAACUUUAUUAAGGUAAGUCAAAACUUCUCUUUUUAUACUUAACCCAACUCAAAUUGGCUUAUGUAGGGGAAACAAGAAAUCAAAACCCAAAGGAACAUGCCAGUUCAGGAAUAUACAGUUAGCUAAGCUUCUUACUGAACAAAUAAAAUCACAAAGCAUGUAUGCAGAUAGACCACAAGUGACUAUAGUGAGGUAGUUUAUUUCAGCUCUAUUUAUCUGGAAUUAAUGCUACACCAUCUGACAUAUUAAGCAGUUAUGCAUCAGGUAUCAGUAGUUACAUCUUCCAGUGCCUCUUACAGUUGCCCCUGAUGGUAUAUCUACUCGAAAGUAUGUAAGUGCACUCACAUUCUUCAACAUUUCCUCAUUAAAGCCAGAUGGAAUUGGGCUUCUUAUACUUGCUAUUCAUUCAUUUAAUAUUAUUAGAGUGUCUACCAUGUAGUAGGCAUUUUCUGUAAAUGCUGGGGAUAUCUUGAUAACAAAGACAAAACCUUUCCCCACAUAGAUCUUAAAUUUUAGUGCGAAGAGAAAGACAAUGACUAUUUUGAAGUUACGAAGGGGAUUUGCUGAUUUGAAUGCCUACUUAGGAGAUUCAGAAGUGGUUGGAUUUAGGUGCUUAGAUUAAGUCAUCAGGAAUUUCCACCUUCUACCCAUAACAGUGAGCAUCUGAAACUUACAAAACAAUAUUUCCUAUUUUACUUCAUUUUAUUUUAGAGACAGGGUCUUGCCUGUUGCUCAGUCUGGAAUGCAGUGGCACAAUCAUAGCUCACUGCAGCCUCAAUUUCCUGGGCUCAAGGGAUCCUCCCAAAGUGCUGGGAUUACAGGUAUAAGCCACCAUGCCCGGCCAAGAUACUCUAUUUUUAAUUUACAGUUUAUAUCAAGACACUGAGCCAGGGGAAUUUGAAGUCACCCAUCCAGUGGUCUUAGCAUCUUUGCUCACACACUGAAUGACUUGAUGUAAAUGACUGAAUCAGACUUGUUUGCUUAUAGCUGACACCACCGAGCAAACAUAUUCUCUCUUUCUCUGGGACAACACCUGAUAUGGUCUGGCUCUGUGUCCCCACCCACAUCUCAUCUUAAAUUGUAAUCCAAAUUGUAAUCCCCACAUGUUGGGGGAGGGACCUCAUGGGAAGUGAUUGGAUCAUGGUGGUGGUUCCCCCUGUGCUAUUCUCGUGAAAGUGAGUGAGUUCUCAUGAGAUCUGAUGGUUUUAUAAGGGGCUCUUCCCCCUUCAUUUUGCACUUCUGUCUCCUGCUGCCUUGUGAAGAAGGACAUGUUUGCUUCCCCUUCCACCAUGAUUGUAAGUUUCCUGAGGCCUCCCCAGCCAUGCCAAACUGUGAGUUAAUUAAACCUCUUUCCUUUAUAAAUUAUCCAGUCUCGGGUAUUUCUUUAUAGCAGCAUGAAAAUGGACUAAUACAGCACCUAUCUCCCAGUAUUGUAUUUUCACAAUGGAAGUUUUAAUCCAGGGAUGUCUAAUCUUGUGGCUUCCUAGGCCACACUGGAAGAAGAAUUGUCUUGGGCCACACAUAAAAUACACUAACACUAAUGAUAGCUGAGAAGCUAAAGAAAAAUCACAAAUAAAUCUUACAAUGUUUCAAGAAAGUUUACGAAUUUGUAUUGGGCUAUCCUGGGCUGCGUGCAGCCAUGGGCUAUGGGUUGGACAAGCUUGGUUUAAUCCAUAGAUGGAGCAUUCUACACAGCUCCCUUAAAGAUGUUCCAGAAGUGCUGACUCUGUGUCAGGCACCAUGUUCACCACUUAGAUGUUCGUUUAAUCCUUACAAAAGAGCCAUGGAGCAUGGACUGUUACUGUGGCAGAUGUGUUAGCCUCCUGUGGUUGCCAUAACAAAAUACUACAAACUGCGUGGCUUAAAACACCAGGAAUUUAUUCUCACUGUUCUAAAAGACGGAAGUCCGAAAUCCAGGAGUCAACAGGGCUGUGCUCCUUUUUGAGGCUCUAGGGAAGAAUACUUCCUCCCCUCUUCCAGCUUCUGCUGGCCACAGGUGUUCCUCGGCUUGUGGCCACAUCACUCCAAUUGCUGCCUCCAUCCCACAUAGCCUUCUUCCCUAUGUGUGUGUUCUCACAUGGUCUUUGUAUAAGGAUAUCAGUUAUGGGAUUUAGUUCCUACCAUAAUCCAUCAUGAACUCUACUGCACUAAUUACGUCUACAAAGGCCUUAUUGCCAAAUAAGGUCACAUUCUGGGGUUUCAGGUGAAUAUAAAUUUUGGAAGGACACUAUUCAACCCAGUACAACAAGUAAAAUUUAAAAAGGCACCCUUUUACCUUGGCAUGUUAUCUCACUUGAUUUUUAUAACAGCCCUGUAGAUUAAACAGAUAAUAUGUUAUAUUCCCACUUCUAGAUAUCAUCACCCAUUAUUUGAGAGAAUGGAAAUGAAGUUCAGGGCUGUUAACACUCCUGCCACUGAAACAUCCCAGGCCAGUGACCUUUUCAUGUCUGACCUAACAGGUGGUUUCCAACCACAGUUACUUGUGACAUCAUUCCAUCACUCCCCAUACACAUUCCCUGUAGAUCAACUUAUCUGGCCCUACAAUUAUAGUUACAGGGAAUUUUACAUUCUUCAUCUUCCACAGGCAACUGAAUCUUCUGGGACAAAAAGCAUAUGUUCUCCCAUAGUAAUAAAAUUUCCCUUUUUUAGCCUGGCAUGUGACUGCCAAUAAUAACACUUCCCAGACUCUCAGGUGUCCACGUCUAUCCAAAGGGAAAUAUAGUCAGUGAUAACUUCCAGACAUAGAUGAAACAUGCCACACCUUAUAGUCACUUUAUGGGGUUCAUUCUCUCUUCCCAUAGACUGUCAUGCUGUCAUCAUGGCUGGAUCUGAUACGGCCACCGUGGACCUUGAGGUGACCUCGGGAAUGGAGACAGUGCAUGGGAGAGAAUCACAUUGGAAGGGGCCUGGGUUUCUGAAGACCCUGUAAGACAGAUCUCCUUGCAGCCCUGACUGCCCACAUUAGGGCUUUUAUGUUAGGGUGAAGUUACCUUGCAUUGUCAUAUAAGCAAUUGCUAUUUGUGGUGUCUUGCAAAUAAACCUAUUCUGAUCUAGUAUGUUUCCUAAAAAACAAAAGUUUGAACCCAGCUCUUUACGUGUUACAUGUUCUGAAUACAAAAAUAAGACCCAGUUUCUGCCCCCUAGCAGGACCCAAAACCCCUCAGUGAAGGCAUACACCAUAGGAAUAAUCUCACAAGUACUUU
rnacentral:lncRNA from 10 species